UGAGGAAUAUUGGUCAAGUGGGCGAGAGCCUGAACCAGCCAAGUAGCGUGCAGGACGACGGCCCUAUGGGUUGUAAACUGCUUUUAUACGGGAAUAAAGUGAUGCCUGCGGGCGUUAUUGCAUGUACCGUACGAAUAAGGACCAGCUAAUUCCGUGCCAGCAGCCGCGGUAAUACGGAAGGUCCGGGCGUUAUCCGGAUUUAUUGGGUUUAAAGGGAGCGUAGGCCGUCUUAUAAGCGUGUUGUGAAAUGUCGGGCUCAACCUGGGCAUUGCAGCGCGAACUGUGAGACUUGAGUGCGCAGGAAGUAGGCGGAAUUCGUCGUGUAGCGGUGAAAUGCUUAGAUAUGACGAGAACUC
rnacentral:rRNA from 1 species